AUGUGUCACAUAGCACUACUCACAACAUUGCAACUUAAUCGAUAAAUUGCUACUCGCCAAAAAGAUACAUCAAAACUUGAUCAUCUGCUCACUAAUAAUUUACAGUAAAAAUAAGGAUUCUGUCAACUGAAACAAAGAAGAUUGUAUCAUGAUGGGACACACUUGAAAUGGCAUAAACAAAGAUUUCUGACGAAUUCGACUCGUGCCAUCUGAUCGUGACAGUUGACCGCUACGGAUCCGG